rnacentral:lncRNA from 1 species
UGCUGCGGCUCCUGAAAUCCUCCGGUGUGAACUCCCAGGGCUGUUGAUGCUUCAUCUACUCUUCUGGCAGUGGGGGCCUGGACCUUAGUUACCCGGGGAGCUCACACCAGAAGAGGGCAUUGGAUCCCACUAUAGACUGUUGUGAGCCACCUUGUAGUUGCUGGGAAUUGAACUCAGAAACUCUGGAAGAGCAGUUGAUGCUCUUAACUGCUGAGUCAUCUCUCCAGCCCCAGGUGUUCUGCCCAGUUUAUAGAACAAGGAAUUGGAGCUUGGAGAAGAUUGAUGGACCACUCAAGUUCCCUGGAUGGUCCAGGAUUCAGACUGAGGAUGGCCUAAAACGUUAGUUUUGCUGGCUCCCUGUGCUUGGCUAACCUUAGAGCCUCUUACCUUACCAUAGUCUUUUCUAUGAAGGACAGAGAUCCAAGGAGUGGAUCAACAUGCCUGAGUUUACACAGUGGACCUGAGGACCUUCACCUCCCAGUGCAAUGCUCCUGUGUACU